UACGAAGGGGGCUAGCGUUGCUCGGAAUGACUGGGCGUAAAGGGCGCGUAGGCGGCCACCGCAAGUCGGUUGUGAAAUCUCCGGGCUUAACCCGGAAAGGUCAAUCGAUACUGCGGGGCUAGAGUGCAGAAGGGGCAACUGGAAUUCUCGGUGUAGCGGUGAAAUGCGUAGAUAUCGAGAGGAACACCUGCGGCGGAAGGCGGGUUGCUGGGCUGACACUGACGCUGAGGCGCGAAAGCCAGGGGAGCGAACGGG
rnacentral:rRNA from 1 species